AGACAUAAGACUCUAUCACAUAUCAGUUUCCAGACUCUAGGACCUGGCGGAGACGUUAUCCGGUGCUGCGACCUCUCCUCUGCAGCUCAGAAAGAGAGGGAGGGAGGCAGAGAGAGCGCGAGAGCGAGAGAGAGAGAGAGAGAGGAGGCCGGGGAUAAAGCACGGAGAAAGCCUGGAUCGGUUCCGCUGUGCGCGUGCAGAUGUGUACCGUAUACACGGCAACGGCGCGUGAACUUGAGGAGUUUUAUUUGGUUCAAGACGCACCGGACAUCUCCUCCGGAGAGGACUGAAGGGGGACUCACCUGGUUGCUACGGAGACAGUUUGAAUAUUUUAAUUGGUUACCAAGCAUCGCCAUGCCGUCCAACACUACCACACUGCCACCAUCAGAGGACCCCACUACACACAUGAGUGAAGACAGAGUGGUCCAUGUGGGCCCAGAGGAGGGGAGUUUAGCCAGUCCACCCAACAGACAUCACAACCACACUCUUUCUGUGAGUCAUCAACACCAUUCUCUCUCUCUCCUAUCCUCCCCCUUUCCUCCGAGGUGUGUGUGUGUGUGUGUGUGUGUGUGUGUGUGUGUGUGUGUGUGUGUGUGUGUGUGUGUGUGUGUGUGUGUGUGUGUGUGUGUGUGUGUGUUUGUGUGUUUUUUUCUUCAAACAAGUGGGGACAUUUCUCUGUCCCCACAAGGAAAAGGGCUAUUUUAGGCUUAGAGGUUUGGGUUACAAUUAGG
rnacentral:lncRNA from 1 species